rnacentral:rRNA from 1 species
GACGAACGCUGGCGGCGUGCUUAACACAUGCAAGUCGAACGGAAAGGCCCUGCUUUUGUGGGGUGCUCGAGUGGCGAACGGGUGAGUAACACGUGAGUAACCUGCCCUUGACUUUGGGAUAACUUCAGGAAACUGGGGCUAAUACCGGAUAGGAGCUCCUGCUGCAUGGUGGGGGUUGGAAAGUUUCGGCGGUUGGGGAUGGACUCGCGGCUUAUCAGCGUGUUGGUGGGGUAGGGGCUCACCGAGGCUUUGACGGGUAGCCGGCCCGAGAGGGGGGCCGGCGACAUUGGGACUGAGAGACGGCCCAGACUCCUACGGGAGGCAGCAGUGGGGAAUAUUGCACAAUGGGCGGAAGCCUGAUGCAGCAACGCCGCGUGCGGGAUGACGGCCUUCGGGUUGUAAACCGCUUUCGCCUGUGACGAAGCGUGAGUGACGGUAAUGGGUAAAGAAGCACCGGCUAACUACGUG